rnacentral:rRNA from 1 species
UACGUAGGGGGCUAGCGUUGUCCGGAUUUAUUGGGCGUAAAGAGCGUGUAGGCGGCCAGGUAGGUCCGUUGUGAAAACUCGAGGCUCAACCUCGAGACGCCGAUGGAAACCAUCUGGCUAGAGUCCGGAAGAGGAGAGUGGAAUUCCUGGUGUAGCGGUGAAAUGCGCAGAUAUCGGGAAGAACACCCGUGGCUAAGGCGGCUCUCUAGUACGGUACUGACGCUGAGACGCGAAAGCGUGGGGAGCGAACAGG